rnacentral:rRNA from 1 species
UACGUAGGGGGCAAGCGUUGUCCGGAAUUAUUGGGCGUAAAGAGCUCGUAGGCGGUCCGUUAAGUCGGAAGUGAAAUCUCAAGGCUCAACCUUGAAACUGCUUUCGAUACUGGCGGACUUGAGGCAGGUAGGGGAAGGUGGAAUUCCUGGUGUAGCGGUGAAAUGCGCAGAUAUCAGGAGGAACACCAGUGGCGAAGGCGGCCUUCUGGGCCUGUUCUGACGCUGAGGAGCGAAAGCGUGGGGAGCAAACAGGAUUAGAUACCCCCGUAGUCC